GCGUGGCGCUCUUGGCACAAGCGGAAAAUAAAGGCUUCCCGGAGCGGUAACGGGGCUGUACGCUGGUCCCAUGGAGAUGCCUUGGUCUGCGGGCAACGGUCGCACGGAAGGGCGGGGGCCGCCCCCGCCGUUGGUUUCGCCCACGCCCCCCUCCCCCCCGCCUCCCCCGGGAGCCCGUGACAGGUGGAGCGGGCCCCGCCGGCGCGCGCGCGCCCUCGCGGCUGUCACGUGGCGCGGAGCGCCGCCGCGCGCUUCGCGCGAGAGGCGCGGCAAGUCUCGCGAUGCCUCGAGGGCCUCGGGGCGUGAGGGCGGGGAGGGCCCGGCCCGGGCCCGGCGGGAGCGGUGCGAGAAGCGCGAAGGACGGGAAUGGCAACACCGGGGAGUUCGGGCUUCUGGGCACGCCUCGCGUGUGAGUAAAGCUCUGGAUUUCUUCAGGCGCGGGAAGGAAAGAUAGUUUGCUGCUUGCUUUCCCUGCUUCGUAAGGCUUAGCGCAGCUCCAGCCCGACCUGUAGAUGAAGCGUUACCUUGGCAUCGUAGACUGACUGGGGAUUUGAAAGGUCAUCUCGUCCCAGCCGCCUGCCAUGGGCACGGACACCUUCUGCUAGACCCGGUUGCUCAGAGUCCCAUCCAACCUGGCCUUGAACGCUUCUGGGAAUGGUUCAUCCACGCUCCUGUGCCUCCAGACCAUCCUUGGGUUUCUCCACCCUUCCCAGCUCAACCAGGAACCCAAGGGACCGCGUUUCUCCUGGCCACACAGCCAGGAGGCUUUAGUGCUUUUUAAGUGGAUCCUUACAUGUUUUCUGGUCCUGAUGGUGCAGAGACGCUGGCAGGAAUGGAGACCUGGUCAAGACAAAGUCUUAAAUAAUGCAAAUGAAGACUCAGAGUAGUGUGUCCAUGCGGCUCUUAAAAGCAGUGCCUUGUAAUGUAGCUCUGCUUUCUGAUGCAAAUGCAGGAAGAACAAAAAAAAGCAUGUGGGUUUGAUGAUGUUGCAUUUCUUCAUGAAAGAGUCAGCAGCCAGUUUGUUGAGAGUAUUGGUAUAAGAGAAGGCAUUUGUGUUUAAAGGACUUGCAAGUCUGAAAUCCAGAUAAAAUGCAAGUUGUUUUUGGUUCUGGGAAGGGGCCAUGGUCUGUUAAUAGUGGAAACACUAUGAUCAAACAUCUGUGUUCAUCUGUAUCGUCCAUGGCUUCUCUCAGCAGAGUUUCCUCAGGUGCCAAAAUCAGUGCCAAGAGCUGACCGGGUGGGAAUGUGCCAUAAGUGUGGGGUUUCAAUGCAGAGUGUUUCUCAGUCUUGACUCUCAGGUGUAAAGUUUCCACUUUGCAGUAUCCUGAGUAUAAAUCAGCAGAAAGGAGAGUAGACAAAACCAUUUCUCAGUGGAAGGAAGGGAUUGCUGAACAACAGAGCAAAUCAAGAGACUUAGAAGCAGAGUCCUAGUCCAGCUGGAACUUGUGUGCACUUGAAGUCACAAGCCCUGAGUUACCUCUCUGGUACUGUCAGUGCCACUCUUAACCCCCAUACCCUGGCUGAAUUGCUGGCAUUGAACUUCCAGAUGCCUUUAUUUAUUUAUUUGUUUGUUUAUUUAUUUAUUUGCUGUCACUUCCAAGUCAGGUAGGAAAUUUGAAGGAGCAGUAGAUCAGUUGGAUAUAAUUCAGAUCUCAUGGUCCUGUGUAGCCCAGGCAUACUUUACUGUCACCUGCAGCAAGAUCCAUCCCUGGAAAAACUGUGGUGUUUGAAGCUGGGUAUAUCAGUUCAUAUUGGUUUGGUUUUCAUUCCUGCUUUUGGAAGUUCUGGGCAGCUGCAAGCCUUGACCAGCUAAGCAAAUGAGGGCAGAGGUCAUCUCCUUACCCAAGAGUCUGAAAAAGGUCAGGAGCCAUGUGUGAUCUCUGCUGAUGCUGUUUAAGGAAGGAUUUUGAGGUGUGGAGUCACCAUUGUGCUCCCAAUAGCUCAGGAGGCCUCUGACUAUGAGGCAAAUCCUUUUGCAGCAGAGCAGGCAAAAUGUGAUGAGACAACCUUGGAUUCACGUGACAACGUGACAUGAAAGACAGCAACAAAAAAGCAGACUGACCAACAGAACCCACAGGAUGCCAUUUUGUGUCCUGCAAAACAUAAAUCUGAUACUUAUAUUGUUGCCAUCUUGAUACAUUUUAGUCAGCCUGCCUGAAAUAUGUGGGUAUUUGGCUUGUGAGGGAAAGCAGCAUAAACUAGUAAAAUGUGCCAAUGGGUCAGUUAGGGAGAAAGCAGUUUCAUUAACACAUCUCUUUUUCUGCUUUUGUUUUCCUUACUGUUGUUUUCUUUUACUCCAAGGUUAAAGAAGAAAAGCUUAAAUUACUAAACUAUUUUCUUGAUAUUUGGAACAAAAAAUCCUGUGUGCUUCCUUUUUGUACUUUAGCAGUGGCUUUUCUUUUGUCCAGGAGUUCGUAGUAAAAUUACCUGCAAUUUACAUGUUCCUUGUACUACCCUUGUUAAAUUUCUGGUGGGUGUUGUGUGAUGAUCUGUGUUUUGACAGCAUAUGGUGGUCAAGAAACUGGGGAAGCUGAUCUAAACCCCAAGGUUUUGGGUUGUUUUUAGUUGGUUUUUUUUUUCCCCACAGAAAAAGGCAAAUGCUUUUGCUGGUAAUAAGAAAAACCAAUACAUGGAUAGGAGAAUUAUUAUUGAAAAUAGGAAAAAAGUCAUCACGAUGCUGUUUAUCACUAUGUUGAAGAAAAAAUUGCUUUUUAAUCUCAGGAAUACUUUCCUAGCUUUGGGUAGUAAGGGGAGCGAACUAGUCUAGGAAAUUGGUUAUUAUAAAGAAAGAAAAUACAGGGUUUUUUUUUAAUUAAAGUUUUAAAAAAUCAAGGCUAAAUGCUUUGGUUAUAGACCUUAAUUAUUAUUGUUCUGUCUUGUUUGAACAAUGUAGUCAUUUUUGUCUAUUGUCCUCUCUGACUUUGGUUAGCAUGAGUUUAAAACCUGGAUUGUCUUUGAAAGUCUUAAUGCUGGAAUUCAUCUGGGGGUGAAGUGGUAAUUCAUGGUCAUAAGAAGUCCACACAGUCAUCAGGUAAGCAUUAAAAUCCAUCCCUGUGCAGCAGCAUGUCAGCAAUUCAGUCCAAACAUGGAAAACUGAAUUUGUGUCCUCACCUCGACUGCAUUCUGAGCUGUUGGAUGGCAUUCAGAAAGCAGGGCAUUUUGGGGUGUUCUGUACAUUUGCUGUGUAAGAGAGACCAGUUCUGGCCAUGCCAGCAUGAGCACAGAGACCCCUUUGCUGAAGCUCUACCAGUGGAGGAAACAACUGUUGGAAUAUCUGUAUCCUAUUUUUGCACUGUAUAAAUUUGUGUAAUGCUAACUGGCAGUUUCUGCUGACUUGGAGAAAUAAAUAAUAUGAAAAAUUAUACUUGUCCAGGAGGUGGUUCCUUUACAGUGCUACUGUUGGUAGAUUUUACAUCUUUUUUCAAUUGUGCCUGUUCCUCCCACCUCCAGCACUUUUGGUUGUGUCUUUGGUGUGCAUUCCAAAUGUGGAAAUGCUUUCAUUUAUGGUAAUAGUUUUAGGUGAAUGUCUGUCUUAUCCCUAGGAACCAGAUGUGACAGUUUAUGACUUGCCACCUUCCAGAGAAAUCACUUGUUUGACAGGAGAUGAUCCUGAACAAGGAUCUCUGCUCUUCCAGAACAGUGCAGAGAAACUGAAAUUUCUUGUGUUUCAUGUGUUUCCAUGCAGAAAUUUGAGAAGCUUUUCUCUGUUGAGAAGCUGAUAAUAAAAUACUGUGUUUAUAUUAACUUGUCUUCAGAUUGACAGUUGUAACUUAAUAGAAUUUGGCAAAUGCUGUAAAGAAGAGGAAAAAAAAAAUCCCAUCUUUUUGUUUCUGUGGUGUUUUUAUAUGUAUUGACUUAAUAAUAGUUGCUGGGCUGAUACCUUUGUAGCCUACUGGUUUUCUGGCUUGGAAGUGAAAAACAAACCACAUUUAUAAACCAGCUCUGAGCAAAAUUAUGAGGGUUUUUGUGUAAACAUUUGAAAAAAGCCAAUCCUGAUGCUCAGCAAACCAGGUGAAUGGAUAUCUUGUUAGCUUUUGUUAAUCCUGGGAUAGAAUCCAAUAUUAUCCAAAAUACUUGAUUAUCUGCUAUUUUUGUUUUUCUCCAAGAGCAGAGGAUGUCACGUGCUCUUACUGCAUUUAAUUUAGUGUUUCAUACACAAAUCUUUUUGAGAAAGUAUCUGGGAAUUACUUAUUUUAAAAGCCUCAACAGUUGUGUAUGUUGCUUUUUGUUAACAUUUAUGUCCAUGUCUAAAAGGACAAAAAUCUUCAAUAACCAAUCUAAACACUCUUGGCUGUAGUCUCUCUUCUCUGUUCAUUUCUUACAUCAGCCACUUUUAAAAUCGGGUGUUUUGCACAUGGUAGACACUAAAUCUUGUAAUGGUGCGCAGGUGAGAGUUUUAAAGGUGCAAACAGCAGAAGCAGCUUUGGGACUUUGGGUGUGGCAGAGUCAAAGCCUUGGCUCAAGACUAAACACAAACAAUGACAGUUCUCCAUCCUUGUCCAAGCAGUUCAGGAUUCCCUCGCAGCAAUGGGUGAGUCAGGGCAUUUCAAAUGAAAUAAAGCACCAUGCUUCAAUCUGCAGACUUAGUUGCUGUAGGACGACACUCUUAUAUUUUGAAGCUUCCCGAAAUGAGGUGGCAUUCCAUUAAUUUGAUGUAUAGGAUACAGUGGGGUUGUACUCAAAGCAUGUAAAUGUGUUCAUCCUAUGUAACUGGAAGAUAAGCAAAACACCGAACUGAAACUUUUUUUUGUUAAGUUUGCUAUUUUCAAGAGGCGGGUUAUGAUUAGAAUUUCUCUAGGAGUGCUCCACUGUGUCUUCUGCAUGUCAAUGAGAGUUGGAUCAGACCUCUCACAGAGCUGCAAGCACCAGGAUGAUGUGAGGAAGACAAGUAGUUUCUACCACAGCUUGACAUUCAUAAAAUCCAAAGCUAACCCUGCCUUUAAGUACAUUUUUCCUUGCUUCCCCCUUCAGGUGCACUUCAGUUGAGAACCUGUGAAACAGGAAAUCCCUAGGAAUGACUGGGAGAAUUUCCCAUCUUAUAGUUUCUCAAGGUACAGUUUGGUUUCUGUUUGGAAGUUUGCAGUUGUGUAUUUGUAUAAAUAUACUCAGUGCUACUGAAGUCAGUUUAUGAGAUGUUCUUCUCUAAUGGUGUUUUGGUUUGGCUUUUGUCUGUAAAUGAGUCCUGUGGUGUUUUCUCUUGUGAGGAAAGUCAAAACAGUGUUUUUCUCCAUGGAUAAGUAAUCCCAAACUGAAAGCUGAGUGAGAGGAAGGAAAUUGCCAUUAGUCUCAAUGAGACAAAAGUUUCUUGGGAAUUGGGGUAGCAAAGGGAAGCUUCACUGAGAAUCUGCAAUGUUUUCCAAAGCCCUGAUACCCUUAACUUGGUGCUCUUUCUGCCACUGGUGGAUACACAAAAUUUCACUGGAAAUUGUGAAUUCACAUCUUCACAUAACAAAAUACUUGUCCCAUGGCUUCUUAGUAUCACUGAGAACAAAGUCCCUUUAAUAUUCCUUCCUCUCAAUCAAAAAUAUCCACAUCCCCUGCUGAACUCAGAUGCUUACAUGUAGGUAUCCCAGCUACUCCAGUCUGGUCUAGAGACCAUUAAAGUAAUGAUGCAACUGACACUAUUUUAAAGACAUGAAAGUUUGAAAGUGCAUUGUUAACAUUUCUUCCACAUGAAAGUUUGAAAGUGUACAGAUACAUUUCUUCCCAAGGGUAAUCUAUACAAAAAAGGACCAGGAUAGAGUCUUGAGAAAUUAUAUUGGUCCUGUUCAGAUCAUAGUUUUUGUUUCCUGUACAAAGAAGAAGAUAAGUGUGUGAUUUUUAAGUACUUCUGUUGUCUAUCAUGUAAUUGGUUUGGGAUUUUUAGUAAGUGAUUGGUUUUGUUUUUAUUACAUAUUCCUUCAGUGCAGGCAUAUUUCUAAUGAAUAAUUCCACCAUCCCAAGGAUGUGAACCUGCAGGUUCUGGAAUAUCUUCUGAAGAGACUUUCUGCUCAGUAAACAUCAAGUCCCAUUUUUAAUGGAUCAGUCCAGAUAAGCUUUCAACAUUUAAAUGCUUAUCAGAGUUCCUUUAUUCAGGAAACCAAACAAGACACAGGUUUUCUUGUAAAUUCAGCGUUGUUCCUGGUUUCUGUUACAUCAACCCAUGUUAAAUGAGACAUCCUGCACUGUUUAUGCUUCUGUCUCUCUGAAAACAACUGAAUACAAUAUAUAUGAUCACUGAAGAGCAAAACACCUGCUGUUAAGCCUCUUCUAUGAUUUUUUCAUAUUUAUUUGGGGUUACUAAUUUUGCAAUGUAGGUGCUUCUUGUCAGCGGUCUGCAAAAAACACAUGGGAAAUACAAGUAGGAGGAUCACAGUUUCUGUCUCCCAGGUGGAGUGGUUUGGCUCCAAACCCUGCCAUGGGUGGGUGGUUUGGUGCUGUACAAGAAAGGGAGAUCCCAACAGCAGCUGGUGGUGCCCAGCAGUGGAGCAGGAGGAACAAGCAGGAACUGAUGCCCAGAAGUUCCACUUGAACAUGAGGAAGAAUUUCUUCUCCUGUGCAGUGACUGAGCACUGAACAGAUUGUCCAGAGAGGGUGUGGAGCCUCCCACACUGGAGAUCUCCCCUCUGGACACAAUCCUGUGCUGUGUGCUCUGGGGUGACCCUGCUUGAGCAGGGAGGUGAGAUCAGGUGACCCAUGGUGGUCCUCUCCAGCCUGACCCAUCCUGUGAGAGGGAAGAGCCAAGUGUGUGAGGAGGGUUUGAGCAGUGGUUGGACAGAGGCCUUUUCUGUAGCUCAAUUCUUCUGACCAGUCACUUACUCCAUCUCUUCUUUCUGUCCCUGUUGUGUUUUCCACUAAAUGUGUAGAACGUGAAUGUUGUGUUCAAAUGACAAAGUGUCUGACAAAAAGCAGAAAUGAUCAUGUGGUUUGGGGUUGGUUUGGUUUUUCCCCCCAGUCUUAGCCAAACAAAUGACUGUAUCAGCACUUUGUCAGAAAUGACACAGCUGGUCACAAAAAUGAUGGUGCCUCAGGAGGGGUCCCGUGACAUUUAUUUGGGAAAAGCACCCCUUGCUUCUGACAGUCCCCUCUCUGCCUCUGUUACUAACCCUGUGCCAUCCCUCACAUACUGAUUUAAGUGUUUGCAAAGCUAUAUUGGAAACUGAGGCAAAGUCAUUGAAAUAGCCUAGAUUAAAAAAAAAAAAAUAAACCAGCCUCCACCCCGCUCCAAAAAAA